rnacentral:rRNA from 1 species
UCGGGAAUAUUGCGCAAUGGAGGAAACUCUGACGCAGUGACGCCGCGUAUAGGAAGAAGGUUUUCGGAUUGUAAACUAUUGUCAUUAGGGAAGAAAAAAGACAGUACCUAAGGAGGAAGCUCCGGCUAACUACGUGCC